GAUAAUUUCAAAUCCUAAUUUAUUUAAAGUAUAUUUUUUUUUACACCGACUUUUCCUUAAUAAUAUUCGAUUUCGAAUGGCAUUAUUACAAAGCGGUCGAUUCGAGUGGAUCACGGUUAUAGAUUCGAGCCGCUCGAAGCGAUGAGCCGGUGGCGCAGGCGAAGCCCGCGAAGCAAACCCCUGUUCCUCCUCUCCGUCGCCGUUCUUUUCCUCUUCGCCCUCUUCCUCGCCUUCCGCCUCUCCUCGCCCUCCGAUCUACUACGAUCCCUCGUCGCUUCAUCCUCUCCCGCCGCUUCCUCCACCGCAACCCUUGCUCCCGCCCGAUCGCACCAAUGCGGCGUCUCUCCCUUCGGAGAGCGGUUCCUAUGGUACGCCCCCCACAGCGGGUUCAGCAAUCAGCUGUCGGAGCUCAAGAACGCUAUCCUCUUCGCCGCCAUCCUCAACCGUACCCUCAUCGUGCCUCCCGUGCUCGACCACCACGCCGUCGCCCUAGGUAGCUGCCCCAAAUUCAGGGUGACCAGCCCGACGGAGCUCCGCACGAGGGUUUUUGAUCACAUCAUGGAUCUGGUUCGGGAUCGGAGGUAUGUGUCAAUGGGUGACAUAAUUGAUUUAUCAAGAUUGCCAUCAUCUGUGGUUAGAACAGUAGAUUUUAGGAUAUUUUUGUCAACAUGGUGUGGAUUAAACAUGGAGCGUGCUUGUUCUGGCAACUUAUGCUGCACCAUUUCUGCCGACAGAGCUAUAACUGGCAAUUUUGACCAGUGCAGAUCAUUGUUUUCUGGUAUGCAGGGUAAGGAUAACCAGUGUGUGUAUGCCGUAGAAGAUGACUGUAGGACAACAGUUUGGACAUAUCGUGAGAGCAACGGAGAAAUAUUGGAUUCAUUCCAACCUGACAGGGAGUUACUAAUCAAGAAGAAAUUUUCAUAUGUCAGGAAGCGGAGAGAUAUAAGUAAAGCUCUCGGACCUGGGUCAGAAGCUGAAAUGUCCAAACUGCUGGCUUUUGGCACACUUUUCUCAGCACCUUACAAAGGUUCAGAGCUGUAUAUUGAUAUUCAUGAAGUACAAGGAAAAAAUCAUGUACAAUCUCUGCUCAAGGAAAUUGAGUACCUUCCAUUUACCCCAGAAAUCAUGGCUACUGGUAGGAAGUUUGCUCUGAACAGUAUUAAGCAGCCUUUUAUGUGUGCCCAGCUUAGGUUGUUGGAUGGGCAGUUUAAGAACCAUUGGAAGACUACUUUUUCAGCUGUUGAGCAGAAGCUGAAAUCCAUAGGUUUGAAACCUACUGACAAUAUGAGCAAUGAUCCAAUUCAUAUUUUUCUGAUGACAGAUCUACCUACUGUUAACUGGACUGACACUUACUUAGACGACCUUGCAAAAGAUGCUUCAUAUCAACUGCAUGUUUUGGAUGAAGGUUCUCAAUUGGUUGUAGAGGCUGGCAAAAGACUAAUGGCAUCAGAACAUGGCAUCAGGUCUAGUUUCCUUCCAAGAAAUUAUGAUGGAUUUAAUAAGAAGAAGCGUUGUGACCCAGUGUUCACACCAGAUAUUCUUUUAUAUGUACAAGAAUCAGUUUGUUGCUGUGCAUCAUUAGGAUUUGUGGGCACUCCAGGUUCAACUAUAGCAGACAACAUUGAGCUAAUGAUGAAGUACAAUGCCUGCAAAUCAUAGAAGUUUUUCUUCAUCAUUCUUUUAAUGAGAGAAGUUUCUCAUAAUUGAUUCCAGAGCAAACUUUGAAGAAGUAUCUGGACGUAAUCAUUCCUGAAGAGAAGCUGGAAAGAUAUAAUAUACUUGAAGCAGUAACCCAAAGUAAUUAGAAGUUGGGAUGCUUUUUUAUGGAUCAUUUUAACAUCCUGGAUAAAACUUCCUGCAAGGUGGAAGGGUCAAUUAUUUGAAGAGGAGAUGAACCAGAUGCAACCUAUUCAGCAGUAAUUUUCUCAUGGACAGGUAACUUUCUGGAAACUUAUUAACUUCAUUGUUUCUAUGCGUUUAACAUACUUGUUUGCAGAAAUAUGUACUCUUUAGAUUGGUAGACAUCAUAUUGUUUUUAGAACUUUAGGUCUUUUAAUACUAAAAUACGCACAAAAGCCAUACUAGUAUUCCUUUCAAACAUAUUACUUAGGGUACAUCUCGUUGUCUUCUUCUUGACCACUGACAAGAAAAAGUUUAAACUAAUUAAUUAAAUAAAUCUAGAUCACCCAGCAUAAUUGGAUCAUUUGUUGAUCAAUUAAUAAAUGAAUUCAUGCAAUAGUUUAAAGGCACUAUAAUGAGUUCUGUUAGGUGGCAAAGCGUAAUAAAUCGAGUCGUUGUCAAAUGACUCAACCAUACCCCAUCAGAUUUAUAAUUUGGUGUGCCAGAUCUUGGUCAAAUAUCAUGCUAAACUAGUCAAAGGAUCGUAUAGCAUAAUUGACUUAAAUUUCAUAUUUGUAUAGUGGAAAUAUAUUUAGGAAAAUCAAAUGAUAAUAACAUGAUGUUAUAAUUUGAAUAUAUUUCAUGUCUGGUAGCUUUUUAAUCCUUGUCGAAGAAUUAUUUAGUAAUUAUUCAUCCUUCCUCGUGAAACUUAUUACACAUUUUUAAUUAUAUUUUGUCAUAUAAGUAUAAAAUGAGUAGUUAUUUAUCGAUGAAAAUUUCCCCAUUUUACUGUCGCCCACCGCAUGAG